rnacentral:rRNA from 1 species
AGAAUUGAUCUGGUUCAGGACGAACGCUGGCGGCGUGCUUCAUACAUGCAAGUCGAACGAGAAUCUCACUUCGGUGAGAGGAAAGUGGCGGACGGGUGAGUAAUGUGUAGAGAAUCUGCCCUAGAGUGAGGGACAACAGAGGGAAACUUCUGCUAAUACCUCAUAUGCGCGUAGCUGAGAUGCUAUUCGUGAAAACUCCGGUGCUCUGGGAUGAGUCUGCAUCUGAUUAGCUAGUUGGGGGUGUAAUGGACCACCAAGGCGACGAUCAGUAGCUGGUUUGAGAGGAUGAUCAGCCACAAUGGGACUGAGACACGGCCCAUACUCCUACGGGAGGCAGCAGUAGGGAAUUUUGCGCAAUGGGGGAAACCCUGACGCAGCAACGCCGCGUGAACGAAAAGCCCUUCGGGGUGUAAAGUUCUGUCAGUGGGGACGAAACUUGACGGUACCCACAGAGGAAGCAUCGGCUAACUCCGUGCCAGCAGCUGC